rnacentral:rRNA from 1 species
AGUGAACGCUGGCGGUAGGCCUAACACAUGCAAGUCGAACGGCAGCACAGUAAGAGCUUGCUCUUACGGGUGGCGAGUGGCGGACGGGUGAGGAAUACAUCGGAAUCUACUUUUUCGUGGGGGAUAACGUAGGGAAACUUACGCUAAUACCGCAUACGACCUACGGGUGAAAGCAGGGGCUCUUCGGCCUUUGCGCGAUUGAAUGAGCCGAUGUCGGAUUAGCUAGUUGGGGGGGUAAAGGCCCACCAAGGCGACGAUCCGUAGCUGGUUUGAGAGGAUGAUCAGCCACACUGGAACUGAGACACGGUCCAGACUCCUACGGGAGGCAGCAGUGGGGAAUAUUGGACAAUGGGCGCAAGCCUGAUCCAGCCAUACCGCGUGGGUGAAGAAGGCCUUCGGGUUGUAAAGCCCUUUUGUUGGGAAAGAAAAGCAGCAGGUUAAUACCCCGCUGUUCUGACGGUACCCAAAGAAUAAGCACCGGCUAACUUCGUG